rnacentral:sRNA from 19 species
AUGUAUGUCAGUAUAUGGGGAUGUUUCCCACACAUUCAACGCCAUGUUUACGGAAAAAUAAAAGGGGGGAUAAAAUCCCCCUUUUUCGUUAACU